CUGACUACAACAAAGGCAAGGGAACCCUCUGGAGCAGCUUGAGAGAAAAAUUGGAUCAAACCCAAUGGGGCUAUAUAAUCUGUAUCUUAUGAGUAACAAGAAACUAGUGAAGGAUUUGAGGGACUGGCCAAUGAUUAAGUUACCCUAUCCACUGACUUCUCAGGAUGGGAAAAAUCUACUUUGACAUCAGGAAGCGCUACGGCAAGAAAGAGGGGUAUAGACAGAAGGAGGGGCCAGAGAUUACACGAUGAUGUGAACAUGUAUGGCUGUAUCAGAUAGCAAAACUUUUACCCUAAAGAAUCGGCCACUGAAUCCCUUCUGCAUUCCAAUCCCUCCCUUCGCCUGAAACCGCUGUACCCCUGCAUCCCUGCUGGUUCCCUUCCUGAGGGCUCAGUCACGUGAUGCCCCUACUACAGCUGCAGAAUUCAGGGGACCCUAACUUUUCCCUUGGCUUCUUCUUUCUGCCUUGAUUUGACCUACUGUGCGAU